rnacentral:rRNA from 1 species
AACGAACGCUGGCGGCAUGCCUAACACAUGCAAGUCGAACGAGACCUUCGGGUCUAGUGGCGCACGGGUGCGUAACGCGUGGGAACCUGCCCUUAGGUUCGGAAUAACUCCCCGAAAGGGGUGCUAAUACCGGAUAAUGUCUUCGGACCAAAGAUUUAUCGCCUUUGGAUGGGCCCGCGUUGGAUUAGCUAGUUGGUAGGGUAAAAGCCUACCAAGGCGACGAUCCAUAGCUGGUCUGAGAGGAUGAUCAGCCACACUGGGACUGAGACACGGCCCAGACUCCUACGGGAGGCAGCAGUGGGGAAUAUUGGACAAUGGGCGAAAGCCUGAUCCAGCAAUGCCGCGUGAGUGAUGAAGGCAUUAGGGUUGUAAAGCUCUUUUACCCGGGAUGAUACUGACAGUACCGGGAGAAUAAGCUCCGGCUAACUCCGUG